AUCAUCGACACUUCGAACGCACAUGGCGGCCCCGGGUGCCUUUCCCGGGGCCACGCCUGACUGAGGGUCGUUUU
rnacentral:rRNA from 1 species